rnacentral:lncRNA from 1 species
CACCUAUAAAGCUCAACACUUUGUUUAAUGCUUUGCUGUUUUUAAGAUUGGAGUGGCCUGCACUUUGCAGGUGUGAAGCUGUUCCUCCUACCACAUCAAAGGAAACUCUGGAUAUGGUGGUGUAGAUUUGGAUCUCCCACCAGUUUUAACUGGUAUGAACUGAGUUAUGCCUCAUCAAGUCCAUAAUACUUUGGAACUGACUGCUUGUUGAGUUGUCUGCAGUUCAUCAGCACUUGGAGGCAAAGCAGCCYAUUGAGGACUAUAUUCCAGUGACAGGUGUUUGUCUAAGGAAGAAAAAAUCCAACAACCUAACAUCUAGAAAACAGCGUUCAAUCUUCAAGAACUACUCUCCAAAUGGGAUGUGGUUUCACUACUCCAGAUCCUUCAGCAGAGAACCAAAGUGAAGACCGGGCUGCUCAGAUUGCUGGAAAAUGUCAGUAGCUG